GCAAGUCGAACGCGAAAGUACCUUCGGGUGCGAGUAGAGUGGCGGACGGGUGAGUAACGCGUGGGAAUCUGCCCUGCAGUGGGGGACAACCCGAGGAAACUCGGGCUAAUACCGCAUACGUCCUACGGGAGAAAGGGGGCUUCGGCUCUCGCUGCAGGAUGAGCCCGCGUCCGAUUAGCUUGUUGGCGGGGUAAAAGCCCACCAAGGCGACGAUGGGUAGCUGGUCUGAGAGGAUGAUC
rnacentral:rRNA from 1 species